rnacentral:lncRNA from 1 species
CAUCGAUGUCGGCCUUGGGCAGGCUCACAUCCACAUCUGGACCUUCUCCUUUGAAGCCAGGCAUGCUGAAUUUGGGCAUUUUCACCUUGGGCAUCUUCAGGUGCCAGUCUGGGCCUUGAACGUCCACAUCUGGGACAUCAAUGUCCACUUUGGGGUCCCUGAUGUCAACUUCGGGGCCCUUGAGGUCGCCUUCCACUUUGGGCAGAGAAAUGUCCAUGUCGCCCUUCACCUUUGGACCUUUCAGAUUCAGGUCAACUUCAGGCAUAGAGAUCUUCGGUGCCUUGAGGUGCAGGUCAGGCAUUUUAAAUUUGGGGCCCUUCAGUUUCCCUUCUGGACCAUGAAUAUCAAUAUCAGGAGUGUCAAUGUCCACUUUGGGUCCUGAGACAUCAAUGUCAGCCUUGGGCAGGUUCACAUCCACAUCUGGGCCCUCUCCUUUGAAGCCAGGCAUGCUGAACUUGGGCAUUUUCACCUUGGGCAUCUUCAGGUGCCAGUCUGGACCCUGAACAUUAACAUCUGGGACAUCAAUGUCCACUUUGGGGCCUUUGAGGUCAACUUCAGGACCUUUCAGAUCU